rnacentral:lncRNA from 1 species
CUUUAGCCAUAGCAAGAGCAAGAUCAGAGAGAAAUAAGGACUUAUGACCAUUAGACCAGGAGACAGGAAGCGAUGGUUCUGGAAGGGGCUCUGUUACUAACUUUGGAAUUCAACUGUCCAGAUAGAAAGGUGGACAUGGAAAAAUUGGGCUUUGCAAAUGGUCACCCAAUUCUUGCCUUCCUGGUCUCCAGAUCACCCUUCCUAUACCGCCACUCUGGAGAAAGAAGUACAGAACGCUAACAAGUUCUCCUUCCUGCCAUCAUGUGAAGAAGAAUGUGUUUGC